GAAGAUGAGGAAACUAAGUCUCUUCUUUCCCAGUCCGAUUCGACUAUGACGACAGGGUUGAAAAGCGCUUGCAGUGAGCUUAAUGCACCGGGCUCGACCUGGUGUUUCAUUGCGGGCUUAUACUUGCCAGUAUUUAACAGUUCUGAUUC
rnacentral:snoRNA from 1 species